UAAAACCACAGGGACCAAAAAGGAAUUCACUCCGAAUUCUUUCCUGCAUUUUGACGCACCUCCCAUUGAAGAAAAGCGGUUAGAUGAAGAAAGCAGCUCAGUAACACUUCCAAUCGUCCUAUAGAUCACCAGCACCACCAUCUUAAUUAUGGACAACAGGAACGUCGUCGUUUGCGACAAUGGCACUGGGUAUGUCAAAUGUGGAUUUGCGGGGGAGAAUUUUCCUACUUCUGUGUUCCCUUGUGUGGUGGGGAGGCCAAUGUUACGGUAUGAAGAGUCGCUCAUGGAACAAGAGCUCAAGGAUAUUAUUGUUGGAGCAGCUUGUGCUGAUUUGCGGCAUCAACUGGAUAUAUCCUAUCCUGUUAACAAUGGUAUAGUGCAAAACUGGGAAGAUAUGGGUCAUGUGUGGGACCAUGCUUUUUUCAGUGAAUUAAAAAUUGACCCAACAGAAUGUAAAAUUUUACUUACAGACCCACCUCUUAAUCCCUCAAAAAAUCGUGAAAAGAUGGUGGAGACAAUGUUCGAGAAAUACAACUUUGCUGGUGUCUUCAUUCAAAUCCAAGCUGUUUUAACUUUGUACGCUCAAGGUCUGCUGACUGGACUAGUUAUUGACUCUGGUGAUGGUGUCACCCAUGUGGUUCCAGUUGUUGAUGGCUACUCAUUCCCUCAUCUUACUAAGCGAAUGAAUGUAGCUGGUCGGCACAUAACAUCCUAUCUUGUUGAUUUACUCUCACGGAGAGGGUAUGCAAUGAAUAAGACUGCUGAUUUUGAGACUGUUAGGCAAAUCAAAGAGAAGCUCUGCUAUAUAAGUUAUGAUUACAAAAGGGAAUAUCAAUUGGGCCUUGAAACCACCAUUCUGGUUAAGAAUUAUACUCUGCCAGAUGGAAGGACCAUUAAAGUAGGAACUGAAAGAUUUCAGGCCCCUGAGGCUCUUUUUACGCCAGAACUUAUUGAUGUUGAAGGUGAUGGAAUGGCUGAUAUGGUUUUUCGCUGCAUUCAGGAAAUGGAUAUUGACAACCGUAUGAUGUUAUACCAGCAUAUAGUUUUAAGUGGAGGGAGCACCAUGUAUCCUGGACUGCCUAGUCGCCUUGAGAAAGAAAUCCUGGAUCGGUAUCUUGAUGUGGUUCUGAAGGGAAAUAAAGAUGGGUUAAAGAAGUUGCGAUUGCGAAUUGAGGAUCCGCCAAGAAGAAAGCACAUGGUAUAUCUUGGAGGGGCAGUUCUUGCAGGAAUCAUGAAGGAUGCACCGGAGUUUUGGAUUAGCAGGGAAGAUUAUAUGGAAGAAGGACUUGCUUGUUUAAGCAAGUGUGGUCAGGCUUGACUUUUCUGAUGCAGUCUGCCUGUGCUUUCCCUGUUUGGAAUGCCUCUGAUACAUUCCCUAUGAGCAAAAGCAUGAGAGAAACAGCUAUACAGAUGAGGGUGUUUUGACUUUGAAGAACUUGUGAAGGUGAAAGUUUAACGAGGCUUACAGCUUGGUGAUGACUUUCUAUGUGCAAUUGCGUGUGAUUUAUCUUGAAUUUUGACUUUCUUUCUACCCGGCAAUAAUUUUCUAGAAAGAUUUGGGUUUGAAAUCUCCGAUUAAUUAUAUUUGAUAUAGCACGAUGGUGUAAUUGUUGUGAUAUUGAAUUUAAUUUACCUUGACGGAAAGAGGGUAUACUUGCCGAUUAGAAAAAGGAAGAUCAAAGAGAACCAAAGCUACAUUUUAACAUAAAUUUUGGUUUACGAAAUUGGGUUGAUUUAAUUUCGUA